rnacentral:lncRNA from 1 species
GUCUGCCACCAGGUGAGAUGUGUUUUUCACCUUCCACCAUGAUUGUGAAGCCUUCCCAGCCAUGUAGAACUUAUUGGAGCAUUCCAAAUUGUAAAAAGCAUCAUAGGAAGUAAGCAUCUGCAACAGAGUGAACCCUCUGGAUAUUUUCCCCCUCCUGGGUAAGGAGAAAGAAUACCAAUACCAACGAGAGAAUUCCCCUUCACCUGUGUUUUCAGCUGUCUUGUUGGUCUGAUUUCAAGGAGAAAAGAGUGGAAAAUAAUUGAUUCAUUUUCUAAAGAUUUUACAGCUUCAGUGAAAGGAACAUAUAACAAAGAAACCAGUUGCCAUGAUGUGAGGAAGCUCAAGCAACCCUAUGGAGAAACGGUUUCCCACAGGGAAAGAUAUCCAGAUCCCUGUCUAACAGCUUCAAUUGAGCACCCAUCUGAAAUAAGCAUCAACCUGUCAACCAUGUGAGUGAGCUGUCUUGGAAGUGGACCCUCCAGCCACAGCUGAGUCAUUCAAGCUGAUGAGUAGAGACAAGCUAUUUCCAAUGGGCCUUAACAAAAUUGCAGAUUUGUGAGCAAAACAAAUAAUUUUUGUUGUUUCAAGAUACUAAAUUUUGGAGGAGUUUGUUAUACAACAAUAGAUAACCAGAAAACCAUGACAUAUGAAUUAUAAAUUUAUCAUUGAGUUGUUGGUUAUCUUUCCACCUCUGAAAAUUAAAUACCUAGCCAGUCAUGAUAAAGAGUAAGGUAAAAAAAGUAUGAAAGUAUGAGAAAUAUAUAUGAAAAAUCAAGGAUGAGCAGAAAAUAGGAUCAGGAAUGAGGCUAAUAUAUAAUGCAUACCACAAUUCUUAAUUUGGAAAAUUUUGUCAAUUUCUAAUAAAGUUAAACAUACAUCCGACCUAUGAGUCAGCAAUUUUACUCUUAUGUAUAUACUCAAAGAAUAUCAAAUAAAGACAUAUGUCCACCAAAACACUCUUAAAGAAUGCUCAUAGUAGCUUCAUUCAUAAUGAUUCCCAAAUGGAAACAAUGGAAAUGUCAUUAAACAAUGAAUGAAGCCAAACACAUGAGUCUACAUACUGUAUGAUUUCAUUGAUAUUAAGUUCAAAAACAUGCAAAUUAAACUACGAUAACAGGAGUUGUAUGGCUGGUUACCUUUGGAGGAAAAGGAAAUGACUAGGAAGGAUCACUUUAAAAAAUCUUCUAUAGUGAUAGGAUCUUUUAUAUAUUGACCUGGAUAAUAGUUACAUGGAUGUAUACAUAUGUAAAAUUAAUUGUGCUAUACACUAAAGGUUUGUGCAUUUGACUGUGUCAAUUAUUUCACAUUUAAAAAUAAAUAAACUGGUAUUGUACUAGAAAAUCCAGAUAUGGCUAUACUCUACUAUUUACUCAGGCACACACAGGCUUUAUUAGUCCAUUUUCAUG